rnacentral:rRNA from 1 species
AUUGAACGCCGGCGGCAUGCCUUACACAUGCAAGUCGAACGGUAACAGGUUAAGCUGACGAGUGGCGAACGGGUGAGUAAUGUAUCGGAACGUGCCCAGUCGUGGGGGAUAACUACUCGAAAGAGUGGCUAAUACCGCAUACGACCUGAGGGUGAAAGCGGGGGACCGUAAGGCCUCGCGCGAUUGGAGCGGCCGAUAUCAGAUUAGCUAGUUGGUGGGGUAAAAGCCCACCAAGGCGACGAUCUGUAGCUGGUCUGAGAGGACGACCAGCCACACUGGGACUGAGACACGGCCCAGACUCCUACGGGAGGCAGCAGUGGGGAAUAUUGGACAAUGGGCGAAAGCCUGAUCCAGCCAUGCCGCGUGUGUGAAGAAGGUCUUCGGAUUGUAAAGCACUUUAAGUUGGGAGGAAGGGUAUUCACCUAAUACGUGGGUACUUUGACGUUACCAACAGAAUAAGCACCGGCUAACUCUGUGCCAGCCGCCGCCGUAAGAC